CGUUUUAGUGGCGGACGGGUGAGUAACGCGUGGGUAACCUGCCUUACACAGGGGGAUAACACUUAGAAAUAGGUGCUAAAACCGCAUAAGCGCACAGCUUCGCAUGAAGCGGUGUGAAAAACUCCGGUGGUGUAAGAUGGACCCGCGUCUGAUUAGCUUGUUGGCGGGGUAACGGCCCACCAAGGCGACGAUCAGUAGCCGGCCUGAGAGGGCGGACGGCCACAUUGGGACUGAGACACGGCCCAGACUCCUACGGGAGGCAGCAG
rnacentral:rRNA from 1 species